rnacentral:rRNA from 1 species
UACGUAGGGUGCGAGCGUUGUCCGGAAUUAUUGGGCGUAAAGAGCUUGUAGGUGGUUUGUCGCGUCUGCUGUGAAAAUCCGAGGCUCAACCUCCAGCCUGCAGUGGGUACGGGCAGACUAGAGUGCGGUAGGGGAGAUUGGAAUUCCUGGUGUAGCGGUGGAAUGCGCAGAUAUCAGGAGGAACACCGGUGGCGAAGGCGGUUCUCUGGGAAUGUACUGACGCUGAGGAGCGAAAGUGUGGGGAGCGAACAGG